AAAGUGGUGAAAUUUGGCAGACACGUUGGGUUUAGGCUUCAGUACUUUUGUGUAGGGGUUCAAAUCCCCUCUUUGGC
rnacentral:tRNA from 1 species